rnacentral:rRNA from 1 species
CAAUAAGCGGAGGAAAAGAAACUAACUAGGAUUCCCUUAGUAGCGGCGAGCGAACCGGGAUCAGCCCAACUUGUAAAUCAUUAGCUCUUGGCUAAUUGAAUUGUAGUCUCAAGAUGCGAUCUCUGCAGCUAGCAGUGCCCAAUUUUCCUUGGAAAAGGGAGUCAGAGAGGGUGAGAACCCCGUCGGCACUUGCCUCAGCUGCUCCACGAGGCGUUUUCUCAGAGUCGGGUUGCUUGGGAAUGCAGCCCUAAGUAGGUGGUAAAUCCCAUCUAAGGCUAAAUACUGACGGGAGACCGAUAGCGAACAAGUACCGUGAGGGAAAGAUGAAAAGAACUUUGAAAAGAGAGUCAAAAGUGCUUGAAAUUGUUGAGGGGGAAGGAAUUGGAAGCCGUUUGUGCGCCCGGGUUUAAGUGGGCAAUUCUGCCUGUUGUACGCCUUGGGUGCCGGUCAGCAUCGGCUACUGGACCGGGAUAAUAACUUUCCAUUGGAAGGUGCAUGCCGGCCCGGUGGCCGAGGAUUUGAAAGGCGCUCUUUGAGUCCUUCGGGAACUGCGCCUUCAAGAUGCUGGCAGAAGGCCUUCAAUUCGCCC